GACUUGAAAGAGGAGUGUGUGAAGCUGCGGACCCGCGUGUUUGACUUGGAGCAGCAAAACCGCAUACUGAGCGUGCUGUUUCAACAGCGUGUCAAAACGUCCACGAGUCCUGUCUCCCAGGAGGUGCAAAGGAACGGAAAGGCAUGUGUUGCUGCGGGGAGGUGGCCCAGCCUGCUGAGUCUAACGUGCCCACGAAGCAGCGGUAGUGGCAGUGGCAGUGAACUGUCUCUAUCCAGUGCUUGUAGCGAGCACUCCAGCGGCUCCCACACCUGGGCAGAGGGACGUGGAUUCUCCAAGCAGUGUGCUGCGAGCCGGGACAAAAGGAUGAGCACGGGCUCAGUAUCCAGCAACCACUCGGCACCCAUCGAGCAGGCAGACCUGGGAUGGAAGGAAGGCCACAUUCUGAAAGGUCUGAAGCGCCUCCAAAUGUGCGGCUCCAAAGAGGCAUCCUCAAACGCGUCGGUGCCUCACUGUAAAGACUGUAUGACUUCCAAUGAGGGAAUAUACUCGUUUGGUCUCAAGUGUGGCCAACAAGGGAAUACAAACAAGCAAUUAGCCCCUACAAGUAAAUCUUUGAAGGCGGGAGCAGUGAUCACUGCCGUAGACUCAUAUGACGGCAAUAACCAAUCAACAAAAUCACAAAGCAGCGAAUCCAGUGACCAACCAACAAAAGAGCUUGUUUGCUUGCAGAAACUGGAUGUCACAAGGGAUGAUGACAACAAUUUUCAAGAAGAUCCUGUAAAACUUGCAGGGAAUUCUGGUCUUUUUCCCUCACCUGUCACAGACAACUUCUUAUUUUUAGAGGGCCCCUCAGUAAAACCUGGUGUGAGCCCAACAGACAGCCUUACGCAUUUGGAGGAAAAAAAACAAGACCACCAGCAUGAAGUUAAGCGACAGAAACAAUAACCAGGAAAGGUCAACUGACCGUAAAUCCAGACUUGAUCAUGUCAAACGACAACAGGGCAGACUUGAGGUCGAAGCAGAUACAAAUGACGUGAGCUCCUUUAUUCAGCACUCUGCCACAAGCGCCCUGAGCUACGUGAGUGUAGCAAGACAGCGCAGCUCCUCGAUGGAGGUCCGUCACUGCAGAGACCAGGCGAGUCAAGCUGGCAGUGAAAGCCGGGACUCCACCGUGGCAGAAUCUCCACAGAGGAAACCGAAACCUCAACUUUGCGACUCAGCAAGAAAGGCUUUCAUUCUGCGGAGUAAAAGUGCAGAUGGAGGGAAAGAACAAUCUAAGCAAACACAUUCUCCGCUCCAUCAAAAACUUAUUAAGGGCCACAGGUCCAAAGGACAGUCAAACCCUCCUGGCCAAAGUGUUCCUAGCAAAAGCACAAAUCUCAGUAAAACGCAUUGUUCACACAAGGGUUCAUUAUCUAAAGUUGAGAAAGAUGAGAACCCUUUGGUGUCAUCAAGUUCCAAGUCUCUUAAGAGUGUGCGCUCUCCCCUAGCUUCCCCUGUGAAACAUUCAAAGACAUUUAAGCCACCAGCGAUCAAUGAAUGCUCAAAGAGCCCAACAAAAUCAUCUCUGCAAUCAAGCAAUGAGUCUGUGGAAGAGAGCCUCUAUGAUAACUUACCCUGCUCUCCACGAAAACAACGCCGCCAAGACCAGCACUGUGAUGUUUCCCACUCGGAAGGUCGGUCCCCGUCCCCACCGCGGCCCCCAGGUAGAACUACUUCUCUGGUCCUUCGGCCCAGUUGCGACAGCUUGCCCAGGGCCCAUACAUCUGCAGGUCAGACGCAAAGCUCUAUCACUGGGAAGACAACAUCGAGCACCACCAGGCAACAAUCAUAUAUUCCCUCUAUUUUACAGCCACAACAAUCCAACUCACCAAAUGAUAAUCAACAUUCAGCCCCACAACUUGCAGCUGAUGGUAUGAAAGAAAUCCCAGCUAAGCUCUACCAUACCCAUUCAUCCAAGAUGCCAUCCGUCUCUCUUCAAGAGUCUUUGGAGUCAGUCCAGCUGUCGAUGGACAGAUCCGCCACCGGCCUUGAUGAACACGGUGCUUCUUCUAUAUUUCCAAGUCAGAGCAUCUUACAGCGAUCCAAACAGAGCAUUAGUGAGCCCAAACUCUCAGAUGUAUUGCCCCAGGCAUAUUCUAAGAUGUACUACCAUGGGAUUACCAAUAAUCCUCAGAGUUCCACCUCAAGACCUGUAAAAAUGGCUCUCCCUGCAAACGCCAAAUCUCAUGAGGCAAUUUCUGCACAGGAAACAAGUUCCUUCCUGGUUUUUGGAAGACAUGACAAAAAUGAAACAAACUCUGCUGCAAAAGGCAUGCACACAUUUCAGACUUUUACAUGUGAUCCCCAGAUGAUACAUGAAUGUGGACAUCAUGGUAAAGUCCGCAGAAAGAUUGAGACCCGCUGUAACUCACUGGAUUCUGAGGCCCCUGUUCAACCUGUUGCAUCGGACAGUGGUGUGAUGCUGGAUUGGGGUUUUGAUGAGGAAGGUUGGCUGUUUAAACGUUCAGUAUCCGUGUCGACCAGACCUCCGCUCAAGCCAGUAAUGGGAAUGAAUGGGGCUAAGGCUCGCAGCCAGAGCUUUGGUGCGCGCUACAUGGACAGGCCAAGCUUCAACAGAUCUGGAAAGGUCCGAACCCAGAUCAAAACACACUCAGGUAGCUCCUUGAACUCUCUGAGUGACGUGGUUCCGGGAAGUAUGAGUUGCUCCAGCAGCUACCAUUGUCCGAUGAAUCGAUCCCUUUUGAACAACUUUUUGAUCGAAGAGGGCCUGACACCACCUUCACAUUUGGGGUCGUCCAGUGAAAGACUCCAGAGUCUUAAACUCCAGCGAGAGCAGGCUCGACGCCUUCAAAUUGAGCAACAGUUUUCAAGCGCCUUUGGCGAGCCAGUUUCUGAGGAACCGGAGAGACAAAGUUCUAUAACCACAAUUGAAGAGAAAGUGAUGCUCGGCAUAGAGGAGAACCUGCACAAGUCUCAGGAACAGGAGAGAACCAUUGAAGUGAAGCCAAAAUCAAGCUCAACUUUGGCAAAUUGGUUUGGUUUUCGUAAGAGUAAGCUUCCCGCUCCAAGCAGCAAAAAGACUGAUCCACCCAAAGUUAAAGAGGAGAAGAGGGAGCAAAAGAUUACAUCACUCCUGGGAGGAAAACAGACCAAGUCUGAUAAAAAGAGAGACAGAAGAAAAAGUGAUGGGAAAGACUGCUCUGUGGGGAUAAGAGAGUCUCACGAUGCCGUGCGGGCAUGCAUCUCAAUGCCCUGCCCAGGAAUGUCCCUGAAUGAGAUACAAGGACAUUCUGACGUCAUCGGGGACCCGAAGAUGCAGAUGGUCAACCUGAGAGCUGAUGGUGACAAUGGAUCCACAGUGAAGAGACCCAACCAGGAUGCUGUAAUAGGCUCCGGCUGCGAGAUGCGAACGUUGGACAGUGGAAUUGGGACCAUCCCUCUUCCUGAAUCCUGUUCCUUCUUCUCCUCCAUCCUGCACCUCCUCCCCAAAUCCUCAUCGAACCAUGAACAGUCCCUCAGUCCACCCAGUGUCCCUGGUUCCUCCAGCGAGGACGUGUCUCCUUCCCCGUUACCCCGGUGGAGAAUCCCCUCCAGCUUUAAGGACUGCAGCCUUGCAGGGGUGCCAAACUCCUUCUCCAACUCCUCUAUGACCCAUCUCCAGUCAGUGCCUUUCCCCUCUGUGGCCUUCCUCCAGCCAGUCCAUCCCCAAUCUGAACCCAUUGUGACCUCUGUCCGUGUGUGUGAUUCCCAGAGCAGGCUACCCAGACUUCCACCAGGUGGGUUGGAACCAAAGAAGUUGACUUACAUCAAAUCGAAACCACGAGCCCCUCCAAGUCAACAGAAAGAGCAGACAAGACUUCAGCUGGCCAACUAG
ensembl:lncRNA